rnacentral:rRNA from 1 species
GCUUGCUCUGGGGCAGAGCCGCGAACGGGUGAGUAACACGUGGGUAACCUACCCCGAUGACCGGGACAACCCGAGGAAACUCGGGCUAAUACCGGAUAUGUCCGACAUUCACGAGGAUGUCGAGCAAAGGAAGCUUCGGCCUCCGCUUCGGGAGGGGCCCGCGGCCCAUUAGCUAGUUGGUGGGGUAAUGGCCUACCAAGGCUGCGAUGGGUAGCUGGUCUGAGAGGACGAUCAGCCACACUGGGACUGAGACACGGCCCAGACUCCUACGGGAGGCAGCAGUGGGGAAUCUUGCGCAAUGCGCGAAAGCGUGACGCAGCAACACCGCGUGAGGGAAGACGGCCUUCGGGUUGUAAACCUCUUUCAGGAGGGACGAAGGAUGGGUGGUGAAUAGCCAUUCCAUCUGACGGCACCUUCAGAAGAAGCACCGGCUAACUACGUGCCAGCAGCCGCGGUAAUACGUAGGGUGCAAGCGUUGUCCGGAAUCAUUGGGCGUAAAGCGCGCGUAGGCGGCCCGAUAAGUCCGCUGUAAAAGUCAACGGCUCAACUGUUGAAAGCCGGUGGAUACUGUCGGGCUAGAGUACGGAAGAGGCAAGUGGAAUUCCUGGU